rnacentral:lncRNA from 1 species
AAGACUAAAGGGAGUGGAAAGUGUCUCCCCACAGAGAAUCGUGACUGGGACAGGAGCCUGUUGGAGGGAGAGGAUGUCUGGUGCAUUUCUGCUCUCUCAUACCAGACCUUCUGAGCCUCUCUGCUCAGACCUUGAGGGCCACCAAGAUUACCUGCUGGGAUAUGUUUAUGGCUUCACAAAACCACCUUCAGAACCUGGCCUGUGGCUUGCAUACUGGAGUGUGAUCUUUCUGAGUGCAAUCAAGUGUCCACAUGACCUGUCCCUAGGAAUCUACCAACUGUACAUUAUCUCUUCCAGGAUGUCCAAUGAGUGGUGACUCUGCCCUGUAUAAAUACUUGGGGUGACUGUUCUUGGAUUCACCUGCCUGGACAGAAUCCUGCUCAUCACAAUGGUAAGCAACUUUGUUGGGGACCACUGAGAAAACACUUGCCUAACAUUGGCAAGUGACUAAUUCUAUUCACAAAGGUCAACAAAGAUAAAAUUAAUAUGUAUUUUUUAUCGAAUACGCUAUUGCAUGUAUUUCUUCUCACUAGAAUUUAUUGCUUAAUGCUUCCUAGUUUUGAAUCAUUUCUAUAUUAUAAUCUAUUGUGUACAAUACAAUGAACACUGGGACAUUAGAAAUAUCAGAAACAGUCUGUAAGAUACUUAUUAUUAUGAUAUUUCAUAAAUUUUAAUAUAUCUCUACAUCUUGGGCCCUACAUAGUGAUUUAUGGAGUUAAAUGUAAUUUCAGAGCUGCAAUUUUUCACUUUAAAAAAGGAGGAAACAAGUAGAAGAGGGAAGCAACUGGCACCUGGUUUGAAUCCCAAACUUGGGGGAGCUGAGGUGAGAACACAGGAGUCGCUUUCCAGGCAAGGAUCUCACAAAUGUGACUGUGUGGCAGGGUCACUGGGGGAGGGAGUUCUUUGAAAGACACUGAUCCUGACUCCACACAGACACUGAAUUAACUGCUCUGUAGUGAAGACAGGGCAAUGGAAAGACCCCUGACAAAUGCCCCUCCUGACCCCACACUCAUGGUUACCACACCUCAGGACUCAUUCUUUCUGGAUGCAAGAAGAAGUAAAUAAAGAGACAAGAAUGUAUGACGAUGGAAUCCAUGGGUGGGAUAAGCCUUUAGAGCACCUAUGAUUGGGGGGUGGGGCACAGACAUAAGCAUCAACACCAACAUUACCAGGAACCUAGACUCCGAGCUCAUGGCCAUACCGAGGCAGAGCCUGCCAGCUCCGUAUUUACCAUACACCCUGGGGUUACCCCUGAGUGUUAAAGCAUCACUGGUUCAGUCAGCUUUCUGGUAGCUCUGUCCAGGAGAUGAGAUGCAAAGGUAGUAGUCCCUGGCCACUAGCUCUUCUCCUCUGAUAGCUUAGUUCUGUGACUCAGUGAAAGAAGACCAUCAGAUUCCACAGGCACUGCAAGCCUCCUUCUCUAUACAAAGAACAAAAUUCCAUCUGAAAAACUGGUUUGGAAAAAAGAAAAUUGGACAUUUCUACUAAGGUUCAACUAAGAAAAUGGAGAAUGAGAUACAAAAAGCAACAGCGAAUCCCAAGUCCUGGUAUUGCUACAUGUAGUGAGCUUUGGUUUUCUUAAUAUUUUAAAUCAUUAAUUUAUUUCUUUAUAGAAGUGGAUCUAAUGCAUUUCAUUGGAGAAAAUCCACAAAAUAAGAAAAAGAGCUUGAAGUUGUCAUAUUUGCAACAUACUACCCCAAAAUGCCUUCCUGAAGUUUGACCCAAGCCCGGCAGUCUGUUUGUGAGCAUCUUUGUAUUCAUCACAACUGUCAUGGCACCUAGGCUGAUUUGUACCUGGCUUCAAGUCACUAAAAGAAAUCCAGUGAUUUUUGGAUCAUACCAUUUCUCCUUGCCAACUGUGAUUCUGCUAGGUUCUUUUCUGAGUCCCCAUGUUCUCAGACAGCUGCAACCUGUGCUAUUUGUGGUUUCCCAAUUUUCCAAGGCAUUAAGCAGCCUCCAUUUGAGUUAUUCUUUGUUUCACUAAUUUCUCAGUGUUCAUUGUACUGUAAACAUGUUUAAAUCCAUCCAUCAUUUUCUCAGUGAGGGCAGGUCUGGUUCCCUGGCUGGGUCACCUGAGGGAAGAAGAUUUACCCUUCAGAUCCAUUUGCCAGAUCACUGCAGGGAGGCCUCAGUGUGAGUCUCAGUCCAGGAUGAGGGUCCAAGUCCACUCACUCUCUGUCAUGACUGUCCUUACAUUACAGAAAGUUCUCUGGGGAAGCCUCAUGGUCCUGGCCACCUUCAUGACUUCAUGCAGUGCUUUUUGUUAUUUCAUUCCCAUGAAAGUAAGUGAUGUCAGUUCCCCACAUGGUAAGUCCUAGUUUCAGUGUGCAUUAUGUUGCUUCAACCUGGUAGAUGUGACCUGCUGCUAGGUGAAUGUGCUUGAAUCUACCUAGGCAGAGGGUUAGUGAGACACACAAAUGGAGUCAAACGAGGGUCUCCACUGUGGCCUGUAUAUGGAACAAACAUUCUCAAUUCUAUCUGACUGAGAAUUUCCUACAGAGCUUUUGAAGUGCAUAAAUUCUCAAGCUCCAUCAAAGACCUGGUGAAGAAGAGUCCCUGGGUUCAGAGCUGUACAUUAUGUAGCUCCUCGAUUGACCCCCACAUGCAAUUAGGGUUGAGAAUGGCUUUCAGCACCCAAAGAGGUAUAUCCAUAAACUGAAGUGCCCACUAAGCCCAGGGAGUGUUAAAAACCAGAAGGUGCUAUCUCAGGGAAGCUGGAAGCAAGUGUGAAAAUGCAUUUCCAGUGCAGGAGUGUGAGUCCUGCAAGUACACGUGGGCCUCAGUGGUCUUAGCAGCAGGUCUAAGCCUUGGUUGAAUGCUGGGAUCACUUGAAGAGCAUUCUUGUAUUCUGAACACAUGGUCUAAUGUGUCCACAACCAGAGAUCUGGAUCUCAUAGCUCAGGGCAUGGAAAGGAGGAGAAGUCCCAGAGGCUUAAUUUGUUUGCAUUGUUUUGUUUGUUUCCUUGGGUGCUGGGCAAUCUAGUGUUUUGUGCAUUCUGAGCAUGUGAUCUUCUAUACAAUUUUUUAUUUACUCCCUAAGAUAUUCACAGUCACACAAAGGAUUGAGAUACUCUGAUGCAAAACAAAACAAGCACAAAUGCAAAAAAAAAUUAUUCUGAGAUGUUCAAGCAGGGUAAUGUGGAACUACAAGUGACUUGUGGCUCUAAUAACAUUAAAGAGGACGGUGUUCCUUAUUCACUAAAUGCUUGCAUGGAAACAUAAUCUUGAAAGAUUUAAAUUUGGUGCAGAUAAAUGUUAUUAGUUACAAACAAUACACAGUAUUAGACUAUAGCCAUUCAAGAAUACAGAAGACUUCCUUUGACAACUGUGAAAUUUCUUAUGGUCACAUAUGAGGGACCAGCCUCCAUUUCCUGAUAAGCCUUUCUUUUCUGGGAAUGGAAAUUAGGACUUUGCACUUGCCAGGCAGACACAGCUCCACUGAGCUACAUCCCUGGCCUCUCACAAACUUUUUUCCUAUCACACAGCUAGGGACUCCACUGAUUAUGUCAUUUGUGCUAUUUCAGUGUGCAAGUAUCUUGAUGGAAUCACAUACCCAAUGAAUUCAAAUUGGAAUACCAAGUACUGUGAGAACUGCACUUGCAAUGAGAGAGGAAUUAAAUGCUGCAAAAUGUGAGUCUCAGGUCAUUGUGGCCAAGGUGGACAUGGCUAUCUGUCAAAAGAGGCUUCUCCACUGAUCAAUAUCUCAUCCUCUGCAUGCUCUUGGUGAUAAAAUUUCAUAGUAGAGUUUCAGGUUUAGAGCAAAAUUGAGCUGAAAUUCCCCA